GGCUGGUCUGAUGGUAGUGGGUUAUCACAACUUGUUAACAUUAGUGUCACUAAAGUUGGUAUAUAACCCCCACUGCUAAAUUUGACUGGCUUUAA
rnacentral:Y_RNA from 1 species